UCUAAUACCGGAUACGACAUCCUCCCGCAUGGGAAGGGGUGGAAAGCUCCGGCGGUGCAGGAUGAGCCCGCGGCCUAUCAGCUUGUUGGUGGGGUGAUGGCCUACCAAGGCGACGACGGG
rnacentral:rRNA from 1 species